rnacentral:rRNA from 1 species
CAUUUACCGAAGUUUACAACUUCUCAAACCCAAUGUGAACGUUACCAAACUGUUGCCUCGGCGGGGUCACGCCCCGGGUGCGUAAAAGCCCCGGAACCAGGCGCCCGCCGGAGGAACCAACCAAACUCUUUCUGUAGUCCCCUCGCGGACGUAUUUCUUACAGCUCUGAGCAAAAAUUCAAAAUGAAUCAAAACUUUCAACAACGGAUCUCUUGGUUCUGGCAUCGAUGAAGAACGCAGCGAAAUGCGAUAAGUAAUGUGAAUUGCAGAAUUCAGUGAAUCAUCGAAUCUUUGAACGCACAUUGCGCCCGCCAGUAUUCUGGCGGGCAUGCCUGUCCGAGCGUCAUUUCAACCCUCGAACCCCUCCGGGGGAUCGGCGUUGGGGAUCGGGACCCCUCACCGGGUGCCGGCCCUGAAAUACAGUGGCGGUCUCGCCGCAGCCUCUCCUGCGCAGUAGUUUGCACAACUCGCACCGGGAGCGCGGCGCGUCCACGUCCGUAAAACACCCAACUUCUGAAAUGUUGACCUCGGAUCAGGUAGGAAUACCCGCUGAACUUAAGCAUAUCAUAAGGCGGGAAGGAACACCCUC